UUCCGGUUGAUCCCGCCGGAGGCGACCGCUAUUGGAAUUCGAUUAAGCCAUGCGAGUCGAGAGUCUUAGGGACUCGGCGUACCGCUCAGUAACACGUGGGUAACCUGCCCUGUGCUGGGGAAUAACCUCGGGAAACUGAGAAUAAUGCCCCAUAGUUCACCACGCCUGGAACGGUGGGUGGAUCAAAGCUCCGGCGGCACAGGAUGGGCCUGCGGCGUAUCAGGUCGUAGGGGGUGUAACGUACCCUCUAGCCUUCAACGCGUACGGGUUGUGGGAGCAAUCGCCCGGAGAUGGAUUCUGAGACACGAAUCCAGACCCUACGGGGUGCAGCAGGCGCGAAAACUUCACACUGCAGGAAACUGUGAUGAGGGAAUUCCAAGUGGCUAGACAAAGUCUAGUCUUUUUGUAACUUUUAAUCGGUUACAGAAUAAGGGGUGGGAAAGACCGGUGCCAGCCGCCGCGGUAAUACCGGCACCUCAAGUGGUCGUCGCUUUUAUUGGGCCUAAAACGUCCGUCGCCUGUUUGGUACAUUCGUGGGUAAAUCAACCAGCUUAACUGGUUGAAUUCUGCGAGGACGGCCAGACUAGGGACCGGGAGAGGUAUGGGGUACUCUCAGGGUAGGGGUAAAAUCCUGUCAUCCUGAGGGGACCACCUGUUGCGAAGGCGCCAUACUAGAACGGAUCCGACGGUUAGGGACGAAGCCUAGGGGCACGAACCGGAUUAGAUACCCGGGUAGUCCUAGGUGUAAACGCUGUGGACUUGGUGUUGGGGAUUCUACGAGUAUCCCCAGUGCCGGAGUGAAGAUGUUAAGUCCACUGCCUGGGGAGUACGGUCGCAAGGCUGAAACUUAAAGGAAUUGGCGGGGGAGCACAGCAACGAGAGGAGCGUGCGGUUUAAUUGGAUUCAACGCCGGA
rnacentral:rRNA from 1 species